GGUAGUCCACGCCGUAAACGAUGUCGACUUGGAGGUUGUGCCCUUGAGGCGUGGCUUCCGGAGCUAACGCGUUAAGUCGACCGCCUGGGGAGUACGGCCGCAAGGUUAAAACUCAAAUGAAUUGACGGGGGCCCGCACAAGCGGUGGAGCAUGUGGUUUAAUUCGAUGCAACGCGAAGAACCUUACCUACUCUUGACAUCCAGAGAACUUAGCAGAGAUGCUUUGGUGCCUUCGGGAACUCUGAGACAGGUGCUGCAUGGCUGUCGUCAGCUCGUGUUGUGAAAUGUUGGGUUAAGUCCCGCAACGAGCGCAACCCUUAUCCUUUGUUGCCAGCGGUUAGGCCGGGAACUCAAAGGAGACUGCCAGUGAUAAACUGGAGGAAGGUGGGGAUGACGUCAAGUCAUCAUGGCCCUUACGAGUAGGGCUACACACGUGCUACAAUGGCGCAUACAAAGAGAAGCGACCUCGCGAGAGCGAGCGGACCUCAUAAAGUGCGUCGUAGUCCGGAUUGGAGUCUGCAACUCGACUCCAUGAAGCCGGAAUCGCUAGUAAUCGUAGAUCAGAAUGCUACGGUGAAUACGUUCCCGGGCCUUGUACACACCGCCCGUCACACCAUGGGAGUGGGUUGCAAAAGAAGUAGGUAGCUUAACCUUCGGGAGGGCGCUUACCACUUUGUGAUUCAUGACUGGGGUGAAGUCGUAACAAGGUAACCGUAGGGGAACCUGC
rnacentral:rRNA from 1 species